GCAAGUCGAACGAGAAAUCUCUUGCUUGCAAGAGAGAGUAAAGUGGCGCACGGGUGAGUAACGCGUGGGUAAUCUCCCCUUGGAUCCGGGAUAACAUUUCGAAAGGGAUGCUAAUACCGGUUAAGGUUCAGAUGGUUUCGGCCGUUUGGAUGAAAGUAGGCCUCUGCCUGCAAGCCUAUGUCUGAGGAUGAGCCCGCGUACCAUUAGCUUGUUGGUAGGGUAAUGGCCUACCAAGGCUACGAUGGUUAGCUGGUCUGAGAGGAUGAUC
rnacentral:rRNA from 1 species